rnacentral:rRNA from 1 species
UACGUAGGGGGCUAGCGUUGUCCGGAUUUAUUGGGCGUAAAGAGCGUGUAGGCGGCCAGGUAGGUCUGCUGUGAAAACUCGAGGCUCAACCUCGAGACGUCGGCGGAAACCAUCUGGCUAGAGUCCGGAAGAGGAGAGUGGAAUUCCUGGUGUAGCGGUGAAAUGCGCAGAUAUCAGGAGGAACACCGGUGGCGAAGGCGGAUCUCUGGGCCUUACCUGACGCUCAGGUGCGAAAGCUAGGGGGAGCGAACAGG